UAAGUGUGGUCCAUUCUCUCGAGGAAGCUGCAUUUGAGGGUGCUCCGUGUGGGAUUCGGUUGUGUGCCGAUCUCGGGUCUCCCUUUCACCGAAUCAAGUUGGAAAUUGUUCUAACUGAGGGUUUGAAGCUUUUUUCCUAAAUUUUCUAUGCCUAGGCUGCACAUGAGCAGAUGAAUUCUGCUUCUAAGGUAUAGACCGUGGCAUAGAGCUUGAGCUGUUCCAGCAGAGGCUGGGGAGGAGUUCGGAGUUAAGUAUGCCUUCGCUAGUGUGGUUGAACCAUGCAAUCUCAACCAAUAGAUUUUUAGUUAUUCCCUUUUAUUAUUUUGCAUCCUAUACAUUUGUCUAUAUUGCAGUUUGUAUAGUUUUCAUUUAGGCGAACACCAUUUUUGGAGUAUAUGUUGUUGAUUUUAGCCAUGAAAUUCUCUAACAUAAUUAUCUUUACUUAUCUUUUAUGCCGCUGAUAAAUGCUACUAUGAUUAUUGAUGGCAAUUGAAUGUAAUCUAACUAUGUGUAAAUGUGGGAAAACACACCCACGUGUAGAAUUUCAUUGUGUGACACUCGGGUUUCUGCUAUGAGAAUAUUAUACUCGAAUGGGAAAAUCGGGGAGUUACAAAGUUGGUAUCAAUACAUUCAUGUGUUAUUUAGCUAAUACAUUAAAAUUCAGGAUACGAGUCUCCGUACUUGAGUGCCGGUUUCAGGGCGUCACACUGUAUGUCUCAAAAAAAAAACAAAAAAUCAGUCCACACUAGAGGAGAAGACCAAACAUUCUUCCUAGAACAUUAUUCAUAUCUUUUUCAACAGAUCAAUCUUUAUUUAUUAUCCACGGUAUUGAUGCAAUAUGGCAGUGGUACUGAGGCCCAAUAAUAAUCUCAGGUUAGAUUUGGGUGCCAUAAUUCAGGUCCGAUUAAAAAUCAGAUUGCGUCACUUAGCCCACUCGAGUACUCAUCAUGUACCAAUCAUAUAUUGUUUUAGCCUAAUCAUUUAUUUAGGUUGCGUUUGGUGUCACCAAAUAUCAUGAAAUUUGAUGAUUAAUCACUCUAAUUUGGUGCAAAAUUUCAUGAUAUUUCAUGAAAUUUGGUGCAACCAAACUCACUCUUAAGCAUCCUUACUUUUUAAGAACCUUAGUGAAACAACAUCUUUUGUAUGGACGAAGAGAAUCUGGAUUCAAAUCCAAAGUUGGAUCCACACCCAAAACCAGAUUUUGGAUCCAAAAGCAAUUGAAAUCCUAAUUCAUGCUCAGAAGUAAAUCUAACAGGACCCUAUGGAUUCCUGAAUCCGGUUGGAUUUGGAUCCCAAAAUGCUAAUUCAUUCUCAAAACUAAAUCUGAUAGCACCAGAUGCAAACCAAUUUCUUCACCCAGUAACCAAUAAACAACUUCCACAAUCUUCUUCUUCUUCUUUUUUCCUCACAUGAAAACCAAUUCCAGACAACAAUAAACAAUAUACAAAUUCCAUAAAUUUCUUCUCAUACUUCCUGUUUCCUAAUCUUUAAGUAAUCAGC